rnacentral:snoRNA from 1 species
UGAUGAUAAAAAACAUUAAUAACGACAUCGAAAUAAAUAAAACAUUUGAUGAACCGUGAUAUUUAUAAUGAUAGGACUGACAA